GGGGUUGAGGUUCAGAGGUAGAGGGCACGCCUGGCAUGGCGUGAGGCACUGGGUUCGAUUCUCAGCACCACA
rnacentral:tRNA from 1 species